rnacentral:pre_miRNA from 1 species
CUAUGAUGAUGAUGAUGAUGAUGAUGAUGAUGACGAUGAUGGUGAUAACGACAAUAACAAUGAUAACAACAUCAACGUCAAUUAUUAUCAUCAUCAUCAUCAUCAUUAUUA